GGAAAGGAUUCCUUAUCAGCAGACAGUUACAGCUCCCACUAGGACACUGCCUUCUCAGCGGCUUCAGUUAUCAGAUAUUCCUGGACAUACUUUCCAAGCCAUGAAAAAUAACCAGAGCCACAGCUUUCCCAGCACUCUGACAAACAUCCAUGAGCCCCCAAAGACCGGGAAGUAAUGAUGAUGCAGCUGCGGCACCAUAGAAGAAACAAGUGAUUUCAGUCAAAGGGCCUGGACUCACGAGCUAGCAACUUUGGACAGAUUCUUGAACUCUCAGCCUCAGUUUCUGCUUCUGUAAAGGGAGAUAACUACAGUGACCUUCAGGUUAUCUUGAAGAUGCCAAUGAGCUAGUGAAAAUGCAAUUUAAUCUGUACAGAACUAAACAAAUGCUCUUUUAAUACAAAUUAAUUAAAAGCAGGCAUCUUAAGAGGUGGCUUAAGAAGACUCCUGCAUCAUCAUAGGGAGUUAAAAUUCUGAGCAAAAAGCCUUCUGGAGGAGAAGCAUAGGACAGGCAGCCCCAAGACUGGACUGGAUAGAUGUUGCUGAGCCACCAACUCUCUGAGGGACCUGAGACAAAGCCAGGUGACCUCACCAGUGCUCCAUGUUCUCACCAUAAGUUCUAUAGGACACUCAAAUAUUCUCAGGACAUCAGUUUACUAUACACAUGCACACACACAUAUUUUACAUUUCAUUCAAAGGGUAAAACAUAGACUCCCUUUGUUCUAUAAACCUACAAACAUGUCUGAGCAUUUUUUACAUAAAUAUUUCACAAAUAUUUUACAUGAAUACUUCGACUUAUAAGUCCAUAUUUUAACAAUGGCAUCUUUUCCAAUGUGUACAUUAUGGAAGUGUGGUUGGGGUGUACAGCCUAGGAGCUCAGGGACUGCACAGGCCUGUUCUUUAUGGAUGCAUUGCAUUCAUCUCCCACAGCCAUUUGUAGCUUCAGCUGUUUCUGAAAGCAGCCACUUUCCCUUUUGAUGUCUGAGGUCCAUUAUUUUCAUUUUUGACUUAACCAACAGGUGUUCUCUCUUGAACUCUUUCCUACAUGAGCUGUCUUGCCUCAGGGUUCCCACGGACAGGAGAGUUUUUCCUACAGUGUUACUGAGAGGCACAGAGAAAUCAGUUCCUCCUGGUCCACUGGCUCCGCUCUCAGCACUGCAGUCUCUUGUGACCACGCUGAAGUCUCAACGUUUCCCCCUUCUGAGGACAUGCAGGGACAGAAGGGUGAACCACAAGGGCCAGACCUAAUGCUCCAGGAAAACAAUGAAAGAACAAUUUUCCAUCCUUUUAUUUAGGGCUUAAGUAAGCCAGGCCUGUAACACCAAAUUGUGAGAGUGCACAAGAUGUUUUUGAACCUUGGUGCAGAAUCCAGAAAGAAGUGCAGCCUCUGGUGACAGGGUCUUGGGCUAGCCAUGUGAAGCCUGGCUUUAUGUCAGGCCUCUCAAAUGUGCUGUACAAACCUACCUGCAGGUCUACUCUAGGCAGAAGGGGUGGACCGAUGGCACCAACAAACACAUCUGUACACACAACAGUGCAGCAGACACUUGUGGAUGGGGUAUGAGACAAGCUGUAGAUGCCCUCAAUUAAAUCUGAGGACAAAAGAAGACUGCCCAGAGAGUGGCACUAGCAUGGCAACAAAAUAUUUCAAAAUAUUAAUGGGUUUUACAUACACGCAUAAAAUCACAUUUUUCUGACCUUAUAACACAUUUCAGUCAUUUAGGUAUUGAGUUUGUAAUGCUUGUGGAUACUCGAAAAAUUGAAAGAGGCAAAGUUAGACUUCUUGUCCCCAAGACUGGAAAUAUGUCCCUUCGUUGGGAGUUGGGUGGUGUUGAAUGCAGUUGGGGUGGAAGGAGAGGAGAGCUAAUGGGAAAACAAAGAAUAAGUAAAUGUUCUACAUUCCUGAGAAAAGGGGCCCUGCCCCCUAGCCAUCUCUGCAGCAAAGCCCUGGGGGAGAGAGAGAGAAUGCUCAGACAUGUUUGUAGGUUUACAGAACAAAGGGAAUCUAUGUUUUACCCUUUGAAUGAAAUACAGGAAAGCAAAAUACCUAGAGCAGAAAUGGCUGUGUGACAUGUCAGACAAGGUCAUAGAGUUUUCCAUGGCCCUGCACUGCCCGUGGCUCAUGUGGCAUGACUGUAGGUGAAACCCAGAAUGGACUCUCAAGGUGCCCUGGGCUCCCUUCCUCAAUGGCUGAAGAAGGCUUCUCUUGACCUAAUGGAGUUUAAAGAGACUUGGGGAUAUAGUGAACUAGACCCCAGAAGCCUUUCAAACAGGAACUAGGGGGCGCCCACCAGGACCUUGUGGACUGACAGUGGAGGCUCAAUGAGACAAAAUGUGUCAUGGAGAUGCCUUCAGGACAGACAGCAUUCGGGAACAGAUACCAGCUCCUUACAGUCUUGGCCUCCAGAUUAGACAUGGCCCUGGAAAAAGGUGAUGGGGGACCUGGAAUUACCAGACAGCAAUUCCGUUCCCCCACUUAGUGGAAUGGGAGCACAACAUGUAAAUUAAAGGAAUUAGAGAAAAACA
rnacentral:lncRNA from 1 species